AGGGAGUUUGAUCCUGGCUCAGAACGAACGCUGGCGGCGCGUCUUAAGCAUGCAAGUCGAGCGGUAAGGAGGUAGCUUGCUACUUCCCUAGAGCGGCGGACUGGUGAGUAACGCGUGGGUGACGUACCCUUUGGUUGGGGAUAGCCGGUAGAAAUACCGGGUAAUACCGAAUAAGACCUCUGGUAGAAAGAUUAGAGAGGAAAGCGGCUUCGGCCGCGCCGAAGGAACGGCCCGCGUACUAUUAGCUAGUUGGUGAGGUAACGGCCCACCAAGGCGACGAUAGUUAUCCGGCCUAAGAGGGUGAACGGACACAUUGGGACUGAGAUACGGCCCAGACUCCUACGGGAGGCAGCAGCUAAGAAUAUUCCGCAAUGGAGGAAACUCUGACGGAGCGACGCCGCGUGGAUGAUGAAGGCCGGAAGGUUGUAAAAUCCUUUUGAGUGUGAUGAAUAAAGCUUACAGGAAAUGGUAAGAAGAUGACCGUAGCACUCGAUUAAGGGGCGCUUAAUUACGUGCCAGCAGCCGCGUUACCACUUAAGCCCCGAGCGUUGUUCGGAAUUAUUGGGCGUAAAGGGCAUGUAGGCGGUUGUGCAAGCUUGGUGUGAAAUGCCGGGGCUUAACUCCGGCACUGCGUUGAGAACUGCACGACUAGAGUAACUGAGGGGCAGCCGGAAUUCCAGGUGUAGGGGUGAAAUCUGUAGAUAUCUGGAAGAACACCAAUGGCGAAGGCAGGCUACCAGCAGAUUACUGACGCUGAGGUGCGAAGGUGCGGGGAGCAAACAGGAUUAGAUACCCUGGUAGUCCCCU
rnacentral:rRNA from 1 species